CGAAGUUUACUUUUCCUUUGGGGAAGUGGUUACUGCCUGCGUGGCAGGCUAGAAAUACCCCACGGAGCUGCAGUCUGUGUCGUCGGGUCAGGAGCACGGCAGCGUGUGACACACAUAGCCGAGCCCGACACGAAGGCUUGAAAGAAAUGGCCGCAGAGCGAAGCAAACCACUGCCCCUCCUGCAGCGUCCAGAUCCUCCAUGAAUAUUCCAGGGCUCCUUGUUUGUCGGGGAAGGCUGUCUCGCUUUCAUCUAUUCAGGCUUCUGAUAGACAACCCUGACACCUGCUCCCCGGGGAGACCCUCUGCCAAGUCACCGCACUGUUCCUUGAGAGACUUCCCUUACUUUAUCAGCCCAUAAAGGAUUGUCACAGGUGACUAUAUCAGCCGAGGUGGGGAGCGGCUCCCGCUGACCUGCGGCGAGGUCGAGGCGCCCGCCGCGGCGCCGCGUCACUGGACGGAUUAAGGUGGAGUAAAUGGAGCCGAUCCGGUGUUCUGUAUCAGAGUUACAUUGGGGUUAAAGUGAUGAUCAUAAAGCAGCCAGCGGUGACUGAUAUGCGAGGUGACACCUGCUGCCUCUGGAUGAGGUGAUUAGCCUGUGUUUUCUAGGUGAGUUUUUUGUCACAAUUAGUGCUGGUUAGGCAGAUGUGAGCAGAUGCACCGUCUCAGAUCUCCACCUCUGCUCACAAGUCACUUUCCCCGAAUCACUUCAAAAGCACGGCACGCCUCCACACUAUGUUUUUGUGAUGUGCCUUAAUUUGGCUCUUUUCUCAGACCAGAGUUAAAACCUUAAAAGAAAAAAAAUGAAUUGUCUGUGGUUUAAAAAAAAAAAUAGUGGUUCCAUGCAAGCUUAGUGGAAACAGCGUGUCACCACCAAGCUGCAGAUUUGGAAUCAAACCCUUAUAUUUGUAUUUUGACAUUUUGGGAAACAUUUUGGGAAUCAUAAAGAUUCAAAGUCAACAAAAAUUCACUCUCAAUUACAUUUAAAAAAUGCUACAAAAACUAAUUGGUUAUGUCCAAUAAAAAAUCAUUGUAAGGAGACUCUUUUUUCUGCAUCAAUCAUAAAGUUCUCUCCAGCAGCAGGUUAGCUUAGCAUGAAGACUGGAAACCAGUCUGGGUGUGUGCAAAGAUAAAUCAUAUUUUUAAAAUUGUAAUAUUGUAGCCUAUAUAUAUAUACACACAAUAUAUACAGAUGUAGUCAGAUGUUGGCUUCCAUGCUAUUUACGUGUCUGAGACAGUAUAUUAUGAGAGCAGAAUUUCCCAGCUUUAAAUCAACGCGCUGAUGCAGCGGCUCAUGUCAGCGGGCUGUUAAUAGACAUCCUGCAGAACGCUGCCUCUUUAUCAGGCUUUUAGCAGGAGUUUACAGUGUGACGUCAUUAGACCUAUCGGAUAUGUUGAUGUUGCAGCCCACUCCCGGCAAUACAUUGUUUCACAGUGCUGACUAACAAGCUAUUCUUACUUUAUUGGCACUAUUUAACAGCUCCGGACAUGUUAAUGACCCUGGAACUGUAACGGCGCUCUACCAAUAUGUGAAAUAACAUGUUGCUCUGAGUGAUAGACCCAAUCUUGUCCCACGUAUACUUCUGCUCAUUUUCGAUGAGAGUAUUUGAAGUACAUGAAGCAGUUCAAACUGGUUCCACCUCGACCAAUUACCACAUCAAACUAUGUUAAACUAUUAGUCAUAAUGAUAUAGCAAUCACCAUUAUAAUCGACUAAUGCAAUAAUAGAGCACUGUGAGGGAAGAAUAUUUUUUUGCUAACACUUGAAUACAGCGCGAGUUAUAGUUUUAGUGUAAAUGCUUCCCUGUUUCUGACACUUCAUGUCACAAAGGUAUGUGUUACAUAUAUGUUUUUUGAUACCUUGUUUACAAAUAAAACGAUAAACAGAUGUUUUCCCCAUGUUGAUUCUUCAUAG